rnacentral:rRNA from 1 species
GGACAACAGUUGGAAACGACUGCUAAUACCGCAUAAAAUAACGGAAUCGCAUGAUUCUGUUAUCAAAGGAGAAAUCCGCUGAAAGAUGGGCUCGCGUCUGAUUAGAUAGUUGGUGAGGUAACGGCCCACCAAGUCGACGAUCAGUAGCCGGACUGAGAGGUUGAACGGCCACAUUGGGACUGGGACACGGCCCAGACUCCUACGGGAGGCAGCAGUGGGGGAUAUUGGACAAUGGGGGAAACCCUGAUCCAGCGAUGCCGCGUGAGGGAAGAAGGUUUUCGGAUUGUAAACCUCUGUGGACAGGGACGAUAAUGACGGUACCUGUCAAGAAAGCCACGGCUAACUACGUGCCAGCAGCCGCGGUAAUACGUAGGUGGCGAGCGUUGUCCGGAAUUACUGGGUGUAAAGGGAGUGUAGGCGGGAAGGCAAGUCAGAAGUGAAAAUUAUGGGCUCAACCCAUAACCUGCUUUUGAAACUGUUUUUCUUGAGUGAAGCAGAGGCAAGCGGAAUUCCUAGUGUAGCGGUGAAAUGCGUAGAUAUUAGGAGGAACACCAGUGGCGAAGGCGGCUUGCUGGGCUUUUACUGACGCUGAGGCUCGAAAGCGUGGGGAGCAAACAGGAUUAGAUACCCUGGUAGUCCACGCCGUAAACGAUGAUUACUAGGUGUGGGGGGAUGAACCCUUCCGUGCCGGAG